rnacentral:rRNA from 1 species
UACGGGGGGGGCAAGCGUUGUUCGGAAUUACUGGGCGUAAAGGGUUCGUAGGUGGCCAACUAAGUCAGACGUGAAAUCCCUCAGCUUAACUGGGGAACUGCGUCUGAGACUGAUUGGCUCGAGGACAGGAGAGGAUCGCGGAAUUCCCGGUGUAGAGGUGAAAUUCGUAGAUAUCGGGAGGAACACCAGUGGCGAAGGCGGCGAUCUGGGAAGAUACUGACGCUGAGGUGCGAAAGCGUGGGGAGCAAACAGG